rnacentral:rRNA from 1 species
AUACAUGCAGUCGAGCGCUUCUUUUCUACCGAGUGCUUGCACUCAUUUGAAAAGAGGAGCGGCGGACGGGUGAGUAACACGUGGGUAACCUGCCCAUCAGAGGGGGAUAACACUUGGAAACAGGUGCUAAUACCGCAUAAUAGUCGACACCGCAUGGUGUUGAUUUGAAAGACGCUUUCGGGUGUCACUGAUGGAUGGACCCGCGGUGCAUUAGCUAGUUGGUGAGGUAACGGCUCACCAAGGCGAUGAUGCAUAGCCGACCUGAGAGGGUGAUCGGCCACACUGGGACUGAGACACGGCCCAGACUCCUACGGGGAGGCAGCAGUAGGGAAUCUUCGGCAAUGGACGAAAGUCUGACCGAGCAACGCCGCGUGAGUGAAGAAGGUUUUCGGAUCGUAAAACUCUGUUGUUAGAGAAGAACAAGUAGGAGAGUAACUGCUCUUACCUUGACGGUAUCUAACCAGAAAGCCACGGCUAACUACGUGCCAGCAGCUGCGGUAAUACGUAGGUGGCAAGCGUUGUCCGGAUUUAUUGGGCGUAAAGCGAGCGCAGGCGGUUUCUUAAGUCUGAUGUGAAAGCCCCCGGCUCAACCGGGGAGGGUCAUUGGAAACUGGGAGACUUGAGUGCAGAAGAGGAGAGUGGAAUUCCAUGUGUAGCGGUGAAAUGCGUAGAUAUAUGGAGGAACACCAGUGGCGAAAGCGACUCUCUGGUCUGUAACUGACGCUGAGGCUCGAAAGCGUAGGAGCAAACAGGAUUAGAUACCCUGGUAGUCCACGCCGUAAACGAUGAGUGCUAGU